AAAAAAAUGCAUUCCCAAUAAAAAUCCUUAUUUUAUACAUUGACAAGCUGAUUCAAAAAUUCAUAUUGAAAUAUAAAGGACCUAGGAAAAUGAAAACAACUUUGAAAAAUAGGAAGAAAGAUUUCACACCAUCUUAGUUCAGUAUUUAUUAUAAAACUACAGUAAUUAAGAUACUGUGGUAUUGGCAUCAAGACAUAUAAAUAGACCAGUGGAACAGAAUAGAGUAAUUGAGAUAGUCUGAUAUUGGUUCAAGAUAAACAAUAUGAUCAAUAGAAAAAAAGAGUCCAGAAAUGAACUCACAUCUAUAAAGUCAAUUGAUUUUUUACACAGAUGCAAAGAUAAUUCAGGGAAGAAAAUAUAAUAUUUUCAACUAAUGGAGAUGGAACAAUUGGAUAUUUUUAUGCAAAAAAUAAUUCCAGACUAAUCCUCACAUUAUAUACAAAAAGUAAGUCAAAAUGGAUUGGAGAUCUAGCUGUAAAAACUAAAAUUAUAAAAUUUUUAAAAGAAAACAUAGGAGAAAAUCUUUGUGACCUUAGGUUAGGCAAUUUUUUUUUUUACAUUCAAAAGCAAAAGAAUAACGCACACACUUACAAAAUUGAUCAAGUAAAUUGCUUCAAAAUUAAAUACUCAAAGGGUACUGUUUAACAAAUGAAAAGAUAAGCCAUAGAGUAGAAGAAAAUGCUUAUAAAUCACAUAUCUCAUAAAUAACUGGUAUAUGCAAUAUAUUAAUAAUUCCCAAAACUCAGUAAUAAGAAAAUAACUAUUUUUUUAAGUGAGCAAAGAUUUGAACAUAAUUCAUCAAAGAUAUAUAGACAGAAAAUAAACACAUGAAAAGAUAUUCAACAUGAUUUUUCACCAUGGAAAUACACAUUAAAACCACAAUGAGGUACUAUUGUGUGCCUAUUAACAUGUCUAUGUGUUUUUUGUUGGUUAGGAUGUGAAUGAACUAGACCUUUGAUACACUGAAUGUAAAAUGGCACAAAUGCCUGGAAAAUGGUUUGAUACUCUCUUAAAUAGCUAAACAUACAUUUUCCAUAAGAUCCAGCCUUUCUGCUUUUAGACAUCCAGGUGAAAUUAAUGCCUAUGUCCAUGCAAAGACUUACAUAGAAAUGUUUAGAGCAGCCAUGUUUGUAAUAGCCAAAAUUAAUUAAUUUAUUGAUUGAUUAAAAUAAAACCAAAUGAUUGUCUUUAGGGUAAUGGAUAAACAAAUUGUACCAUAUCCAUAAAUGAUAUAAAUCUAUAAAAUGUGUGGAGUUCCCCUGUGGCCCAGUGGGUUAAGGAUAUGAUGUUGUUACUAUAGGGGCUCAGGUGGCUACUGAGGCAGGGUUUUAUCCCUGGCCUGGGAACUUCCAUAUGCUCCGGGUGCACGCCCCAAAAAAAAUUACUAGAAGAUGUAAACUGACCUGAGGGACCAGAAAGGAGAUGGGUGUUUCCCUGGAUUGAGAGGAAGGGGUGGGAGAGUGAUGACAAAUGGAAGGUUUGGGGUGGGGUGAAUGUGUUGAUCACCUUGUGGGGUUGGUUUCAUAGGUACACACAUAUGACAGCAAUCAAGUUAUACAUUUUAAAGACAACAUUGUUUAUUAUACCUCAAUAAGGCUGUUAAAAAAAAAUAGGGCAGGUCUUGCUGAAGCAAUGUGUCAGUGGCCCUGAGAUUGGAAAAGGCAAGACAGAGGCAGAAAAACCACUCAGGAAGAUGCUCAGAAAUCCAAUUGUCCUUAUACCUAGAACCAGCUUUACAGGCACCCAUUUUAUGUAAAUAAUUCUAAUAUAAACAUAAGAAUUCUGGUCUAUUAAGGGUUACUUCAUUUGUACUAAACUAAUAGCUAGUAAUGAGUAAGCAAAGCCUAAGCUGGUCCAUUUGGAGCUUUUGUGCUACUUACAAAAGCAUCCCUGGUUCCUGCUGCUCUGUUACUCCAUAAGCUGUGUGCCUUUGUCCAGUGCACAGCCUGCACAACCAUCCACAGCAGCCCUGAUCCUAGAGACCACAUGGUGUGAUGGGAACAGCACUGACUGCCAAAUCAUGGUUUAGGUCUUAACCAUAUGGCCUUAGGUGACUCACCUAAAAAUUCUCAUGCCUUGGUUUCAUCACCUUCGUUUCCAGCCCAAUGGGGCUUGCUUGAGAUAAGGACUAUGAUUAAACCUUAAAAGCAGAUAUGGGCCUUAUCAGCAUGUCCUGACCAGAAGGUGAGGGACAGGAGGCUGGUCUGGAGUUCAGGUGUUAAUAUUCCUCUAUUAAUAAGAACAUCCCAGGAGUCUUUAUUAAUCUUUUUUAAGAUCCACGUUAUUACUAAACAGGGCUGUCUUAGGUCAAACUGUGAGAGACAUGUGUUUCUACUUCUUCUGCCUCCACUGCUACCUUCUGGGCCCUUUUUCCUUAUAAGCAUCACAUCCAGGUCCCAUGACCACCCCUCAGCUGCCCAGGCCCACUGAGAAUUCCCUCCCAUCGCGAGGUUUGCUUCCCUGAGUUCCCAAAUCCAUCAUCCCUUGCUCCCAUCCUAGCAUCUCUUUGGUACAUAGAUAUGAAUAGAGAGGGGUGAGGUUUACUAAAUGGAUUCACACUCAGGUUAGUACUGAUGACUAGGACCAGCUCUUUUUUUUUUUUUAGGGCCAUACCUGCAGCAUAUGGAAGUUCCUAGGUUAGGGGUUGAAUCAGAGCUGCAGCUGCCAGCCUACACCACAGCCACAGCAAUGCCAGAUCUGAGCCACAUCUGUGACCUACACUGCAGCUCAUGGCAAUGUUGGCUCCUUAACCCACUGAGAGAGGCCAGAGAUCAAACUCACAUCCUCAUGGAUAUUAGUCGGGUUCACUACUGCUGAGCCACAGUGGGAACUCCAGGACUAGCUCUCUUAACGUUACCCUUUCAAGAGACACAAAUUAUUUUAAAGUAGAUGCUUAUUUACUCCAAAGAAUAUCUUUCUAAGGGUGGAAGUUGAUAGCAAGUAGCUAGCUCUUGGGGCAUAGGAUUGAACGGAUAUUUCAAAACAAACCUCUAAAUUUAGUGCCUCUAGAUAUCCAAAAUAGUCUCCAAAAUGUUAAGCCAUUUACAUUCACUUUUCCAAAGCAUAAGUUUCUUUAUAUACAAGUGGGUUCAAAUCUGUUUCUGUAUAUCUGCUACGAACUCUGCACAGGAAAUAAUGGAAUCCAAUAUGAAUUUUUUUUUAAUGUUAAGCAUCUGAUACACUGAUUGAAGGCUGUCAUACAUUGUUUCAGAUGCUGCUAGUGCCUGAAGUUCAAGCUGGUAAUUGCAGUGAUUGAGCUCAAUAUGCUUGUCAAUGGCCCAGAGGAUGAAGUGUGGAAAAAUUUGCUGAUGGCCCAAAAGUGUUUAGGGUGGAAAGAGCUAAGAAGGGUUGUGAGGUUUUUAAGAUGGCUUUAAUAAACUGAUGACAAAACAAACAUGAAGACUGAUAACAUUUCGCAGAGAAGGUCCAAAGGUAAUAAAUGUGGAAAGAAAUAAUUUAAGCUCUACAUAAUUUAAGCUGUACACACUGAUAGACUUAGAUUUUAUGUUAGUUUCAGAGGGAAAAGACUUGCUGUAGGAAUCAAAUUAAUACAAAAAAUAUUUCAGUAAAUAUCUAAUCUGCAGUGUCCUGAACAAAGGCCAAAAGAGUCUAGGUAUGUACUCAGAAAAUGCGAGGGAAAAUAACAUAAAAAUGUGGUGGAUGAGACUAGGUGCCUGCCUAACAAGCUCUCUUCUGCUGAUUUUGUCCUGACGUUUUCCCCCAGUUGCCCCAGCCCCAGAAAAUGAAUCAAGAUCUCUCUAAACCAACAGUCCCCAAAAUAUGAUCCCCAGACCAGCAGCAGUAUGAUGACCUGGCAGUUUAUUAGAAAUGCAGAUUUUAUUAGGCCCCUAUCCUCAGUAUACUGAAUCAGAAACUUUGGUGGGGGAACACAGACGUUUGUAUUUUAAUAAGCCCCCUUCCCCCCACUCCCGAGAUUCUGAUUCAUGCUGAAGUUUUAGCAACACCAAUCUAAUCCAAUUAGGGUAAUCUUAGUCCCUUUUACCAAUGAUUACAUUCAGGAUAAGAAUGAACUCACUUUAGGCCAAUGAGAUACAAAGAAAGUCUGUAGCAGGUGGGGGGGGUGGUAUUGUUUUUAAGAAAGAUAUUUCUCUCUCAGAUGUAAAGGGGAAACACAUCGCAGCCUUUGGCUGUAGUUCUGUGAGCAUGUGAUGACUGGAGCCACAGCAUCCAUCUUGUGUCUAUGAGGAAGCAUGGCUGAGGACUGCAGAGCAAAAAAAUCAUAGGUUUUUUUGUCACUAAAUUAGCCAACCUUGCCACAUCUCUACAUCCAGAUUGUCUGGCUAUGUGAGAAAGUAAACCCCUCUCAUGUGAUACUCCCUAAUCUUACAUCAAGUGUAUUUUGGAACCACUCUGAUCUUAUAUUCUGUACUAAUAUAACAAAUAUUUACUUUUCUCAGGUUUUGUUUUUUUGGGUUUUGUGUGUGUGUGUGUGUGUGUGUGUGUGUGUGUUAGGCCACACCUGUAGUAUAUGGAAGUUUUCAGGCUAGGGAUUGAAUUGGAGCUGCAGCUGCCAGCCACAGCCACAGCCACAGCAAUGCCAGAUCCGAGCUGCGUCGGCAAUGCCAGAUCUUUAACCCACUGAUCAAGAGGCCAGGGAUCGAAGACGCAACCUUGCGGUUACUAGUUGGGUUUGUUACCACUGAGCAGCAAUGAAACUCCCCUCAGUUAUUUGUAAAGCAUCUUUAGUAAUAGAGCUACAUGCAAACAGAAAAAAAUCCUUCCUGGGGCUAACACAAUCCAUCCAGCUCAGGAUUCUGUGUGAAUGAAAGACACAUUGGAGGAAAGUCUAAAGGUAUGAUUGUUCUUGAUCUCAACCUUGGAAAGUCAAAGUCGCAGACAACGCACUUUUUCUUUUUGGCUGCAUCCACAGCAUAUGGAAGUUCCAGGAGCAGGGGUCAAAUCCAAGCCAUACCUAUGCCACAGUGCAGCAAGGCCGGAUCCUUAACUCACUGUGCCACAGCGGAAACUCCAACACUGCACUUACAUUUCCCCCCAAAUCCCAUUGUGAACGACCAUUUACGAAUCUCCUCAACUCUUCCCAUUGCUAUUCAUAUCAUGAAUUAAGGGGUCACGCCAUAGAGGCCAACCUCAUCUCUAAGAUCGCCAUGAUGAGACAUAAAAUACAGACAGAUGCAUGGUUGGAAACCCGCACAGAGAGGAGGCAAAAGGUACUUCUUACUGGUGGCUUCUUCAUAUCCUGGCAACACGUGUUGCACGGGCCAGUGAACAAAGUCACAGGAAAGAAGGCAGAGUGGGGGAGUCAGCCCAACAAACGCAUCCUUUUCUGUGCACCACCCAGCUUAACUUUCCACCAACUUUUUACAGUGAACUCCCCCCCAUGACUAACUGCAAAAGCAGGUGGGGUUGUCCUCAUGCCCCCACGGGUCAGGAAGCUUAGGCUUUACGGGACUGACAGCAGGAAUUGUUCCAAAACCAACUGUCCUCCACUGAGAAUCCCCUGUCAGCUGUUGGAUGGAGCUGGCUCCACUGAAUCCAGCCCUCAAAGAAUGCAGAGGGGAGAGGAGAUCUCUCAGAGACAAAAAGCAGACCUCGCAGGGUUUUAGAGCUUAAGACCAGUAUCUUCCCCUGCACUCGGAGCCAUCAAGGAAGCCAGCAGCCGCAUCUGGAGCCCAGAUGUUCCAAGCACAUCUCCCUCUGAGCAGAGGCUGUCCUAGUCUGCCCUGGAGCUCAAGGAAGGUCAUGAGAGGAGGUAGCCUUGACCCAGCCAGGAAGCCAGAAGGGCAGCCCCUGGUCACAGUCUUUACCCAGGCUGGAGCCUUGAGUUCAAGGUUUCUGUGUCUCCUUUUCCUCCCCUUGGAAGGCAGGCUAUUCCCAUCUCCUCGUGGAGUGAGGAUAAAAUAGUACAAGGGGAUGGGAGGAGGCAAAGAUUGUAUGGCUCAUCACAUCCCUGUGGCAGGAACACUGUUCUGUCCUCACCCAAAUCUGUCUCUGAGACCUCUUUGCAGCCAGAUGAGGUCAUGUGACUGCCUACAAGUAGGAUGUAGGCAGAAGUGAUGAGCAUCACAUCCGGAAAACCCACCUCUGCCAUCUCCACCAUCCCUCUCCCCUGUCUCCUAGUCGUCUGCAUAGGAUCCAGCAGGCAGCUCAAAAGCCCUAGAGGAUAAGGGAGUCAAGGAGCUGGAAGGAGCACAGAAGGCCCCCUGCCUGGUAGGUACAGCCACCUCA
rnacentral:lncRNA from 1 species